UAUCUAACCUUUUGGAAGAAGUCGUCGAAGGUGGAAUCAAUAACUGGGGUGAAGUCGUAACAAGGUAGCCGUAUCGGAAGGUGCGGCUGGGUCACCUCCUUUCUAAGGAGAAUUGCCUACUGUUUAAUUUUGAAAGUUCUUUACGAACUUUAUAUAUGGGGGUGUAGCUCAGUUGGGAGAGCACUUGCCUUGCAAGCAAGGGGUCAGGAGUUCGACUCUCCUCAUCUCCACCAUUUAAGAGUAUAUUACUUAAAUCUUUGAUUUACUUAGUAGCCUCUUACAAUGCACUUAUAGCUUAAAUUUAUACAAGCUUUGUGUGUUAGCACUUUAAGCAACAGAAUAAACUGAACG
rnacentral:rRNA from 1 species